rnacentral:rRNA from 1 species
UACGUAGGGUGCAAGCGUUUGUCCGGAAUUAUUGGGCGUAAAGAGCUCGUAGGCGGUUUGUCGCGUCUGCUGUGAAAACCCGAGGCUCAACCUCGGGCCUGCAGUGGGUACGGGCAGACUAGAGUGCGGUAGGGGAGAUUGGAAUUCCUGGUGUAGCGGUGGAAUGCGCAGAUAUCAGGAGGAACAUCAAUGGCGAAGGCAGCUCUCUGGACUGUAACUGACGCUGAGGCGCGAAAGCGUGGGUAGCAAACAGG